rnacentral:lncRNA from 1 species
AUGGGUAAAUCAUUUUAUAACCGAAGCACUAGGCUGUGGUGGGGGCACUACCAUUUACGAAUUGGCAGUAGAUUACAAGUAAGACUAAACAAAGGGAUUAAAUUUUCACAUUUUCAACAUAUAGGGAGAUUUAUAGAAUUUGCUCGAGCCUCAAAAUCGUUAAGAGCAGCGACACUAAGUAAGUGCUUGCGCAGGAAUUUUUGGAACACCAACUUUUUUUUUAAUGGUCAGCCUAAAACAGGAAACAAAAUUAAAAACAACUCGAAGACAUCUCAAGAUGAAGGUUAUAUAAAAUUAUAUAUUUGUUUUUUGAAUAGACGUCACUUAAUGUUUGUAAUAAUAACGAUGUGUAU